rnacentral:rRNA from 1 species
GUGUCAGCCGCCGCGGUAAUACGUAGGGAGCAAGCGUUGUCCGGAUUUACUGGGUGUAAAGGGUGCGUAGGCGGCUUUUUAAGUCGGGCGUGAAAGCUGUGGGCUUAACCCACAAAUUGCGUUCGAAACUGGAAGGCUUGAGUGAAGUAGAGGUAGGCGGAAUUCCCGGUGUAGCGGUGAAAUGCGUAGAGAUCGGGAGGAACACCAGUGGCGAAGGCGGCCUACUGGGCUUUAACUGACGCUGAGGCACGAAAGCAUGGGUAGCAAACAGGAUUAGAUACCCUGGUAGUCCAUGCCGUAAACGAUGAUUACUAGGUGUGGGGGGUCUGACCCCUUCCGUGCCGGAGUUAACACAAUAAGUAAUCCACCUGGGGAGUACGGCCGCAAGGUUGAAACUUAAAGGAAUUGACGG